rnacentral:rRNA from 1 species
GGAAGGAUCAUUAUCGAAUGAACUUGAACAGGCUGUUGCUGGUCCCUUUGAAAGGGGAUAUGUGCACGCUUGUUCAUCUUUAUUUCUCCAGCUGUGCACAUAUUGUAGACCUGGGAGUUUUGGUUGUUCGAGUAGAAUCGGAUAGAUUGAGAACUGCUGUGCUUUUAAUAGUUGGCUUUGUCUUGCAUUUCCAGGUCUAUGUCCAUUUUCACAAUCUCUGAAUGUGUUGGAAUGUUGAAUUGGGUCCUUUUUGUACCUAUAAAAGUUAUAUACAACUUUCAGCAACGGAUCUCUUGGCUCUCGCAUCGAUGAAGAACGCAGCGAAAUGCGAUAAGUAAUGUGAAUUGCAGAAUUCAGUGAAUCAUCGAAUCUUUGAACGCAUCUUGCGCUCCUUGGUAUUCCGAGGAGCAUGCCUGUUUGAGUGUCAUUAAGUUCUCAACCACACUAAUCUAUUGGUGUGGCUUUGGAUAUGGGGGUUUUGUUUUGCAGGCUUUUGGAAAUAAAGUCGGCUCCCCUGAAAUGUAUUAGUGGUAUCUGAGCAGAGACUACUACAGGUGUGAUAAUUAUCUAUGCCUUUUAGUACGCUGCAUGAACAGAUUACACUGCUUCUAACCCCUAAGAUAUUUGACAAAUUUGACCUCAAAUCAGGUAGGACUACCCGCUGAACUUAAGCAUAUCAAUAAGCGGAGGAAAAGAAACUAACAAGGAUUCCCCUAGUAACUGCGAGUGAAGCGGGAAAAGCUCAAAUUUGAAAUCUG